AGAUGAGGAGCUUGCUCUUCAAAUCGAGUGGCGAACGGGUGAGUAACGCGUGAGGAACCUGCCUCAAAGAGGGGGACAACAGUUGGAAACGACUGCUAAUACCGCAUAAGCCCACGGCUCGGCAUCGAGCAGAGGGAAAAGGAGCAAUCCGCUUUGAGAUGGCCUCGCGUCCGAUUAGCUAGUUGGUGAGGUAACGGCCCACCAAGGCGACGAUCGGUAGCCGGACUGAGAGGUUGAACGGCCACAUUGGGACUGAGACACGGCCCAGACUCCUACGGGAGGCAGCAGUGGGGAAUAUUGCACAAUGGGGGAAACCCUGAUGCAGCGACGCCGCGUGGAGGAAGAAGGUCUUCGGAUUGUAAACUCCUGUUGUUGAGGAAGAUAAUGACGGUACUCAACAAGGAAGUGACGGCUAACUACGUGCCAGCAGCCGCGGUAAAACGUAGGUCACAAGCGUUGCCCGGAAUUACUGGGUGUAAAGGGAGCGCAGGCGGGAGAACAAGUUGGAAGUGAAAUCCAUGGGCUCAACCCAUGAACUGCUUUCAAAACUGUUUUUCUUGAGUAGUGCAGAGGUAGGCGGAAUUCCCGGUGUAGCGGUGGAAUGCGUAGAUAUCGGGAGGAACACCAGUGGCGAAGGCGGCCUACUGGGCACCAACUGACGCUGAGGCUCGAAAGUGUGGGUAGCAAACAGGAUUAGAUACCCUGGUAGUCCACACCGUAAA
rnacentral:rRNA from 1 species